UCAUCUGGUUCCAGUGACAAUGAAGGCUGAGGUGUGCGCCUUUUUCUUUUCUUUCUUUCUUUUUUUUUUUUCUUUCUCUUAAUCAUGUGGCCAUCUCUGAGAAUGGAGGGGACUCAGUGGCUUUACAUUGGCUGCUUUCUAAGUUUCAAAGUGACUUUCCAGGCAAGCUGAGCAUGUCUUGGGAUCUUCACAGCACAGUGGCUGGGACAUUCAUCAGCUUCUCCCUGGUUUCAGGAUCCACAGCAUCGCAGGCAGAAGAAGGGAUGAAAUGCAUGGGCUCUCUCACUGAAUCAGCCUUGGAGAUGCUCUGGACACUGUCCCCACCCUUCAAACGCAGGCUGAGCUUAUACCAUGGCAGAGCUCAGUGAGAACUAAAGACACUAGAUGCCCACUCCACUGCUGAGGUCCAGAUGCAGCAGGUGCAGGCUGCUUCAGCUCAGCUCCUGUGAGACAGAAAUGAGUCGUCACUGCUGAAGGAAUGAUGCCACUCAGGGCCAGUGGCCACAGAAAGGCUGGGAACUGCACACCACGGAGACCAGCGAUGGUAGCCAAGGCCUCAGCACUCUGACAAAUGUGUACACACAGGAAACAGAUGGACAGAAUCACAGUUUGCAGGAUGCUGUACCUAAAACAAUGAGACAAAAGACAGGGGAAAGAAGCUCAGAAGAAGCAGAGAGGCCCUGCAGGGCUUUUGCAGGGACUGUGCUUGUCUACGUGGAAAACUCAAGAGAGUCUUCAAAUAAACUGUUCAAAAGCAAAGUUGGCAAAAUCCAUCCAAUAGAAGA